rnacentral:lncRNA from 1 species
UUCCGUAGUAUUGGGCCUAUUGGCAUAUUGCAAAUUUAUAGAAUCCUAGAAAAAUUGCAUUGUAUGUCGACGUAAACUUGCCUCGAAUGAUAAAUUUGAAUAUAGUAAUAUUUAAAUGCCUCGAGCUAUUUGAAAGGGACGUGUUCUCUUUAUGGACUGAAAGAAACACGAAAUUCAAGCAAACACAUCUUCAUUUUAUCAUAUCACUUGCUGUCCAUGCUAUAUAGGAAACAAUUUAUGAGCCUAGCUCAUCACCAUCUACUCUUCUUUUAUCCUCAAUGUAUAUGGCCAUUACCCUUCAUUUUAUCAAAAUUAAAUUAAAUUAGUAUUUAGAUAUUAGUAAUUUAGUAUAUAGUCCAAAAUUGGUAAUGUAAUGUACAGUUCUAUCCUUAUACAUUUUUUUUUGAUAAAUUUAAAUUUUCAUUACUGAAAAGUAGUGGAAGGCAAUGUCCGAUUACAAAUGUAGUGAAAUGAAAGUACAACUAGUAAAACAUAAUCCAAAACAAAUCAUGUAGUGACAUUGUCACUCUCUUAUAUAUCUAUGACCUUGGCAUUAGGUAGCCAUGGACUGUUGCCUCAAGAGGUUGGACUCCCAUAAGAAUAUAGCUUGAGUUUCAACAUACACUAAUCCUUAUACAUACAUUCAUACACUAGUCUUUUAAAUGUCUAAUACUUCAAUUACUUGGAUUUUUUAUAAAUGAUCAUUUUUUAUCGACAAACAUCUCUUCUAAUCACUUCUAGAGUGGUUUUAAAAUUCUAGUAUCUAGUAUCUAUUUCAUGGGUGCCAACUGAAAAGUUGUCGCAUUAUGUUGCAUGUUCCGUGUCAAGUUGAUUUAAACCAAGGAUUUAAAGGCGCGAUUGCGCUGCCUCCUAGGCACGCCUCAGGCACCAGUGGCAUUUUGGUAAAUAAUUACAAAAUACAUAUAUUUCAGACAAAAAUAUAUAUUUAAUUCAAAUUGAUAAAGUCUGAAAUACUUAGUUACUAAAAUACUGAAAUACAUUUAAAAAUACUUAAGGUUUGUAGUAGUAAAUCAAUCUACGUGUUCUUCAAUUCUUCGCCUUUUUACGCCUAUGGAUCAACCGUGCCUCAGGUUCAGGUUCUGGUUGGGGUUCAGCUUUUGUCUGAGCAGUGAAAGGUCUUGCUUGACGUCUUCGAAUUGAAGGCCCUGGGUGCUCGCCAGAGAUAGGGGCAUGGAUUGGGGAGGUUUGUUAGGGAUUAGGGGAGGUUUGCUAGGGUUUGGGGGAGGUUUCCUAGGGUUCCUUGCAUUUUCCAGCUUAAGUGUACCGGAUCCGAGUCCAGGCCCGAACCAGAUCCGGUUAGGCCUAUUACCUGGAUGCACGCAUUUAGAACCUUGAUUUAAACAGAUAUCAUCAAUUUUCCCCCUUUAACAUAAUAUAUUUGCUUUUUUUGGACAGCAAUGUUGCAGCUGGGAGGUUGUUUGGUAUACCACUUCGUGGAACACAUUCUCAUGCAUUUGUUAGCUCAUAUAUGGUAAUUGCAGUCCUUGAUAUUUUCUUUUCUUAUGUCGUGUUGGUUACUAGUUACCACAAUUUUUAUUUUAUAUUAACAUUCUUCCUUAGAUUUUUUUUCAUAAUUUAUUAAUGGAUGGUUCUACAGAAUCCUGACGAAAUCUUAAACAAAACACUUCAAAGUUCUGAUGGUUCUUUCACAUGUCAUGAUUUUGUUCGUUUGGGGCAUGACUGGCUCAGCAAAAUUCAGGUUAGUAUUGGCUUGCCAUGAAAAUAUCAUUAUGAUAUUUUCCAAUUUCCAUAAUUAUCAUUGCCAUUUGAUUUUCUUAUCAAUUUCACAUAUUGUAAAUCCAAAUAGGACAAUACCUGCAAAUGAUGUAAAUAAUGUAAUCAGACAGUUCCUGAACUUUGCAUGAUAAUUAGAUAUGGUUCGUUUAACCAUCAUUCUCUCAGUCUCACUAGUAUCAUUUGUGAUGAUUAUGAAACCAUCAAUUCAUUGCUAGAUAUGCAUCGAUGCUUGUAUGAUACUCUGGAUAGUAGAUAUGCUCUUUUUCUGAACAUAUCACCAUCAUUUUCUGCGAAGUUAGUGAAUUAUUGUUUUCAAAGCUGAGUUAGCACCUGUGACUACUGACUAGUUUUAUGGACAGACAGUUCCUCCUGUCUUAUUUAAGACUCCUGUCUGUGGUUACAUCUAGUGCAUUUAAACUUUUAAAGACUAUUAGGUAUUAGGAAUGCACCUAGUGUAUUCUUAACCAUCUUUUUGUAUUCUUGUGCGACUCUUAAAUCUUAAUGAUAUUACAAUUAACAUUUGAAAUAUAUAUACUGUAUUUAGUGGUUACUUGUCUUUAUUCUUCAGAAAAUAAGCUCAUUAAAUGGUAUCUUUGGUGAGACAAAUCAAAGUGAGUUUGCUGCAUUCACAUCAUAUGCAUUGGCAUUUCCAAAGAACUUCCUUGCCCUUGUAGAUACAUAUGAUGUAAGUGAUCUUUCUUUCAAUUUAUGCAAUAGGAUUUCUUUUUUAACAUAUAUGAUGAUAAAAUCGUAACGAAUAAAUGGUUUAUACUUGAACAUAUUAUGUUUGCAUUAUGGUUUGAGUUACCUCUUAGUGUGUAAGUACGCAAUGUUGGCUACUCAUACUACGGGCUAACAGGGAUUAUAGCACACUGCCACACUAUAAUGCUAGCUAGUAGCUAUCAUGUUUAAUAUUUUUUUGUGUAUAUAUAUAUAUAUAUACACCUUCUGUAUUUUGUAAGCAAUAUCUGUUUACUUGCUUCAAAAAAAAAGUAAUAUCUGUUUAGAGUAAUUUAGUGCAUGAAAAUAGGUCUAGAGUACAAAAAAUAGGAAAUAUUUGUUGAAGUUAAUUGCAUUGAAAUUAAUUGCAAGGAGUUAUUUGCAAUUAUUUCAGUGAGCAAUUAAUUAAAUUAUAAGGGAGGCAUAAGUUAGAUGGAGAAUAUUCUUCAUGGGCUAAUAAUUCUUAUUGGGCAUGUUGGAUUAAUUAGUUAUCAAGGGCUAGGGCAUGGCCGGUACGCCUCUUUAGAUAACUAAUUAUAAAUAACAUCUAAUUUUUCUCUUGUAAGGUGCUGGAUAGUUUUCUGUCGUCUAUAAUUCUUGUCACCAAGGGUAGGAGAAAUCCAAUCAUCCCCGGGGAGUAAGCACAACUGAACCUCGUUAACAAAACAUUCUCUUUUGUUGUGUGUUCUUAUUUUUCUUUCCUCCACUUCUAUUUUUUCUGAUCUGAUUACACAUUUCAGAUCAGUACUUUUGUCUGAGGUCAGAAAUAUUUGUUGAAGUUAAUUGCAUUGAAAUUAAUUGCAAGGAGUUAUUUGCAAUUAUUUCAGUGAGCAAUUAAUUAAAUUAUAAGGGAGGCAUAAGUUAGAUGGAGAAUAUUCUUCAUGGGCUAAUAAUUCUUAUUGGGCAUGUUGGAUUAAUUAGUUAUCAAGGGCUAGGGCAUGGCCGGUACGCCUCUUUAGAUAACUAAUUAUAAAUAACAUCUAAUUUUUCUCUUGUAAGGUGCUGGAUAGUUUUCUGUCGUCUAUAAUUCUUGUCACCAAGGGUAGGAGAAAUCCAAUCAUCCCCGGGGAGUAAGCACAACUGAACCUCGUUAACAAAACAUUCUCUUUUGUUGUGUGUUCUUAUUUUUCUUUCCUCCACUUCUAUUUUUUCUGAUCUGAUUACACAUUUCAGAUCAGUACUUUUGUCUGAGGUCAGAAUUGAGAGAAUAGAGAGCAACCAUUCUCGUGUGAGCCUGUGAGGUAGAGAGAAUCUGAUCAGGAGAGAUCAGAUCUAUUCGUGGAUUGCAAAUCGACUUACAAGUGGUAUCAGAGCCGUGUUUGAGGUCCAAGAAGUUGCUGGAAUAAAAAAAAAACGCGAACACUGUUUAUCGCCGGAGUUACUGUUCACGUUAAAAAAAUUGCGGAAAUUUUCAGGAACAGGAGAAGAUCAUUCUGCGAUUGUUUCCUUAUUUUUUCUGGUCUUGAAAAAUGGGAGGAGAUAGCAAGCUGUGGAUAGAGAAGUUCAUUGGCAAAGAUUUCACAUAUUGGCUGAUGCAGAUUACUGAUUAUCUGCAAAGUAGAAAGCUGGUGAAGUCUAUGAAAGGACAGAAACCCGAUCCAAUGAGUGAAGAAGAUUGGGAAGAGAUGGAUGUUGUUGCUUUUAGCAUGGUCCGACUGACCUUGGCAAAAUCAAUUGCACUGUCGUGUGCAAAAGAAACCACGAAAGCAGGAUUGAUUGCAAGACUCAAAGGGAUGUAUGAGAAGGGUUGUGUGUUCUUAUUUUUCCUUCUUUCACUCAAGGAUCGCGAUGUGCCACCACCUGGAGCAUUUGAGCUUUUGCUCGUUUCAGAUCAGUACUUUUGUGUGUGGUCAGAAUUGAGAGAAUAGAGAGAGCCACCAUUCUCAUGUGAGGUAGAGAGAAUCUGAUCAGAAGAGAUCAGAUCUAUUCGUGGAUUGCAAAUCAACUUAUAAUACUAAGUAGAAUGAGUAUAAAAAAUUGAACUCAAAGUUCUAAAUUCAAAUCUUCUGAUUCUCUGAAUGUCCUAUAGCAUCUCAGAUUCAUUCUUUGCUAAAAGUACUAUGAGGUAACAGGGAUUAUAGCACACCAUAAUGCUCUAGCUAUUAUGUUUAAUAUUUUUUAUAUCUAUAUAUGUACCUUCUGUAUUUUGUAAGUAAUAUCUGUUUAGAAUAGCAAAAAAUAGGAAAUACUAAGUAGAAUGAGUAUAAAAAAUUGAAAUAACAAUAAAUGAAGUGCUGGAGACAGUGGAGGGAAUUUGUUUGCCAGAGGAGGGAUGAGUUCGUCGGAGGCAGUAGCGGUCAUCGUCCAAUAGAAAUUCUUUCCUGUUGGUAAAACAUACUUGAGAGCAUUGAAAUACUUGAUGCUCUGGACUAGAAAGCUCCCACUAUCUUAACUAACAAAAUUAUUAUGAAAUAAGACACCGACCCUCUUUAGCACUCUAAAUCAUUGAACUGUGAACCUGGUUAUGUUUCUCAGGCUUGUUUGUUUUCUAAUUUACGUGAAUUAUUGAUUAAGUAUGGACCAUGGCGCUAUAUCAAUCAUAUUUUAAUUAGUUUCCUGUUGAUUUUAUCUACCAUUACUGUUUCACAUAUGAUUAUACAAUGACGAUGUAUUUUUUGACAAAUUUGAUUUUCCAUUCUACUUAUCAGGUAAUGAGGAGUGGGGUCCCUAAUUUUUGUGCAGUGGCUUUAGCAUUGAAUGAUCUAGGGUAUGUUAUUGAGACUAUCAUUCAUCCAUCCAUCUUUUCAUUGUCCUUGGAAACGAUAAAUUUGAUUAGAUUUUAUAGUAUCAACCAUCCAUUUCAAUUUUACUGAGAUACAUUUGUUCCUUUUUCUUGGUUGCUGUAUACAUAUUACAUAAUCAUAUAUGUUAACAUUCGGAAAAUAUAUUAGAGAGUUUACAUCAGAUCUAUUAAUUUAAAUUGAUAAUUUGAUAUUAGACAUUUAGACUCAAGGUUCGGGAUACGUCUCUAGCUCUCUGCGCUAUGCGCCACCACCUGGAGCAUUUGAGCUUUUGUGCGCAAAGACGCGCUCAAACAAGGGAAGACGGCAUUUUUGUAAGAAUAUAAAAAAUAAGGGAAAUUCAUAUAUUUUUUAUAUAUCAAUCCUAAAAUAUAGAUAUACCAAUAAAAUAAUCAAUUAAAUUUUUUAGUCAAAAAAAUAUUGGAUAGAAAAAUUGUUAUAAUACAUAUAUUUUUUAAUUAUUAUAACACCUUAUUAUUCAUUAUAACACUAUAAUUUAUUUAACACAUGUACACUUUAUUUAGUCCCAUAUUGAUAGGAUAUAAAAAGUACAAAAAACACUAUAAUUUAUUUAACACAUGUACCCUUUAUUUAGUCUUACAUUGAUAAAAUUCAAAAAGUACAAAGAAUAUAACAAUAAUUUAUUUAAUACAUGUACACUUUAUUUAGUCCCACAUUGAUAGAAUUCAAAAAGUACAAAGAAAGUUGGUCUAUAAAUAAAGAUUCAUUUUUUCUAAAUCAAACAUGAAGUCUUAAGAGUGGGAGGAGCUUAUAUUAAAAAUAAUAUAGCUCUUUUCAUAGACCAAUGUAUAAAUUUUUAUGGCCUGUUUUAAAAUAAAUUUUUAUAACCCUAGGUCUAAAAUAAAAUAAAAAUUUGGGCCUGUUUUUUAUUUAAUUCAGGGCCGGAUCUAGCUAAGGAAGAUGCGCUUGGCGUAUCUCCCUUUUGAGGAGCAAUGACGCAUAAUGCGCGCAUCCGAUUCCUAGUUUAAACUAAUUACUCAGAGAGUAAUCAGCCAUCACUGAUCUAAUCAGUGACUGGUUUCUGGUUGGACUGAUCUAAUCAAAUCUUGGUUGGAUACUUGGAUCUGAGUAAGCAAUCACCAUUCCAUCAUCAUGUUGAUGAGUAGAGAAUGAUGCUGAGGACUAUAGCAUUUCUCCAGCACCGAAUACAGUAGGCCGCCAAGGACUACAACAGACUGCAGAUUAUCCGUGUCUUCACUCCAGCCACCUCCCUGCACUGUCUUGUGUUUGGGAUGUGGGUAUAUAUAAUUAUAUAUUAUACAUAUAUACAUAUUAGAUAUAUAAAUAUAUUGGGGUAUAUAUUAAAUCAUUACAGAAUAAAUAUCAUUUAUUUAUAAAUAUACCCUGACCGAUUACUUUCCGAGUUGAAUAUUCGAUAGAUUGGACUGUUUGGCCAAUCUUCAAACAAUGAUAUUGGUAGUCCAGAUCAAAAUAUUGGAUGUCGGUUUGUAAUCAGGGAAUUGAUAUAUAAAAUUACCAAGGAUGUGAUUUAUUAAGAAAUGAUCAAUGAUUUUAAGUUUGUGUCACUCCCUUGCUAGAUUAUUAUUUUUUAAAUUAAAUGGAUUAAUUUUUUUUAUCUGUUUUAAGUUUGUUCUUUAAUGGUUUCAAAUCAAAUGUUUGUAUUCAGGUAUAAAGCAACUGGAAUUAGGUUGGAUUCUGGUGAUUUGGCAUACUUAUCAAUCGAGAGUCGUAAAUUUUUUCAGGCAAUUGAGAAGGAGUUGGGCAUAUCUUCUUUUGGAAAAAUGAUGAUAACUGCCAGUAAUGACCUGAAUGAGGAUACUCUUGAUGCUUUAAAAAAGCAGGUCAGUUGUAUGUUAAUUCCCAUAUACGAUUAAUAAAAAAUGGUCAGUUGAAGCCUUGGAGGUAUGAGUGUAUAACUGCCAUGAAUACAAGUGAUGAAUAUAUUACAUAUGUACACAUAGGUACAUUGUAUUUUAUUUGCCUUAUGAUUGUAAUCAGAUCUUUUAAUCUGUUCUCUUCCUUCUUCCAGGGGCAUGAAGUAGAUUGUUUUGGUAUAGGCACACAUCUUGUUACAUGUUAUGGUCAACCAGCUCUUGGUUGUGUUUUCAAACUUGUAGAGAUAAAUAACAAGCCUCGAAUGAAACUUUCUGAGGAUGUUUCCAAGGUUAGAUUAUACUGUAAAAUAAGUUUACCAUUUUUCUUGAGUACUAUGUUUUUUAAUAACCAGUAUUAUGCUGCAUUAUAGGUCUCGAUACCCUGCAGAAAGCAAUGUUAUAGAUUGUAUGGGAUAGAAGGAUACCCAUUGUUGGAUAUAAUGACCAUGAAAGAUGAACCCGCUCCAAAGGUAUAAGUUAUGGCAGAGUAUUGGUGAGCAGAGUUGCUCUUUUCUCAUGUCAAUGCAUUGAUAUUUAUCAAGCUUUUUCAUGCGAUGCCUAGGCGUCGCAUAGGCGGUCAUGCAGUCCAGCGCAAGUAGGCGUUUGCCUUCAUGCACUGGCCGGCGCCUAACCCAUUAACCCAUUUAAUUUCAUUUAAAAUGAGGAGUUAGGGUUUUAAAACCCUAACACCUCAUUUUUCUCCCUAUUUCUUCUCAUUUCCUCUUCUUUUUCCCAAAUUUCCAGCCACCCUCCCACUUCCUCUUCAGUCCAUUUCCUCCACCUCCGGCCACCUCUACCUCUGGCGAACCUCGACUCCGACUCCGGCGAUGGAAAUUAUGCGACUAGGCCCAUCGCAUGACCGCAUGGUCGCAUGUAAAAGCUUGAUAUUUAUAGUAUCAAGUAUCCUUUUCUUUUCUUUUCUUUUCUUUUUUUAAAGCAAUUAAAUUUCAUUAAAAAUAAAGGCAAUACCCAAAUUAUAUAGAGUAUAGAAAUAUAAAACAGAAGUAAAAAAAAAUGAGCAAGAAGCUCAUUGACUCUCUUCCAUUAGCUAUGUAGUCUAGUUAUAUAGUAAUUAGAUACGCUGCCUCAGGAGGUUGAUCUCCCAUACUUCCAUCAUAGAUGUCUUGAAAGGGUGACAACUCUUCUUGUAACACUCCGGAUCAAAGGAGAGACUGAUGUCCUUAAUGACCUCCUUAAGGACUACCUCAGAAGGCCUACUAACGUGUUGUCUAUAUCUUUUAUUUCUUUCUGUCUAUAUAUGCCACGACAAACACCCAAUAACAUUCCAUAGUAGCCCCCAAGGGGGAGAGUGGUGUGUGACUUUUUGUGCAGCCUCCGUAAGAUCCCCCAAUCUAAUAUCUAGACUGGAUUGGGUGGGAACUGGAAUAUUCAUUAUUCUUCAGAAGGCGAAAUUCAGGUGCUCAGCCAACGGAAUUAGGAGAGAUCUGAAAUAAGAACAGUUGAAGAAGAGAAGACUUCUAGAUUCAUCUUCCAGAUUGCAUAAUAAGCAAGCAGGAGGUACUUGUAUUUUCCAACUUUUCAACUUCCUGAACGUGUUUAGGUGAUCCCAUUUCACCCUCCACAAGAGAAUAGAGAAUCUUGUCGGCAUCUUCGACCAGAUUCCCUUGGCUAACCCGUCUUUAUGUUUUCUAUCUCUAAUCAAGUAUCCUAAUUAUUACAGGUAAAUUAUUCACUGAAUGAUAUUUACUGUGGGCAGAGUUACUUCACUAGGAAGUUAACCUGACAUUGAUUAGAUGAACUUUAUCCUAAAUAGAUAUGAUAAAUAUUUAUAAUUUUUAAUAUAUCUAAUAAAAGGUAAGUUACUAUUACCUGAGAGGUUUAACUGUUAAAACUCGAGUCUGACUAUUUUCUGUCCUGACAUUUGUGACAUUAUAAUUUUUUUCAAAGGUAGACUGGGUUUAUACAUAGAUAUUGCGUGAGGAUCCAUCCCAUUACAUGUGUUGGUCUACUAGACCCAAGACCUAUACCUCUUCUUGGCACCCUAUAAAUAGGAGAGAGCUCAAGGAGGAAAUCAGAUUCACUCACCACUCCAUUUUGGAAGGAAAACCCUGCCACUGAGCAUUGUUCUUCUCCAUAACCAAACAUUCACGAUUAGCUUGUAUAACUCGGGCAACAUACCUUUGGAUUAUAGUGCGAACGUUAGGAGCAUGUCAACUCCGGUCAUACCCUAACAAGUAGAUUACAUUAUAGAACGAAUAUCAAUCGUCAGGAGCACGUCAACCCUCCAGGAUCACCCGACAAUGAAAAUCAUGCCCAAUACCCAAAUCUUCG